GUAAAAUGCAUAUUAGAAUUUUCGGUAUCUUUUUAUAGAUAUAUUUUUAUCAGUAGUCACUACUAAUGGAGACAGUGUAAAACCGUCCAAUGAGCUUGAAGAAGAGGUUUCAGUACUGUUUAAUGAAAUGGCGCGAAGGACCUGUACAGACAAAUCUUUUCAACUUCCCUCUAUUAAAACGAUAGAUAUCGAUGGUAUUGACGGUUUUUAUAAUGAUAAUGGAAUUAAAAUAACGUUUAGCAUUGCCAAAAUGCAGCUGCGGGGCUCGAUACAUUCUCUUUAGAGAAAAUUACUGUAACGCAAGUAAAGAUAGCAUGACAUUGACGGCUCAAAUCAGAGUAACCAUACUGACACUACAUUCCGACAAAUAUUCACUAAAGGGAAGCGCUUAUUAUUUCUAUCCAAUAAAAGGAUCAGGAGGAAUGACAAUUCAACUGAAGGACGUUGUAGCUCUGUCGACAGUGCGCUUUGUCAGUGUUGAUGACUUUAGUUCCAAGAU